UCAAACUACCAACUUCUAAUACUUUCUUGUACCAAAAUCCAGAUAUCUUUCAAUUGCAUUAUUAGAUUAAUACAAAAUUUUGUAUAUACUUAGAAAAUUCAAUCAAUCAAGGAUUAUCAAAUUUUGAACUAUAGGUGUGACAUUGAUUGCACAAAUUAGCCAAAGGUGCUAGCCUUAGUUGUAUUGCAUAAAUUCCAAA
rnacentral:lncRNA from 1 species